ensembl:lncRNA
AAUGGAUGGACCUGAGGACAGAGGUCCUGAUUAAAAGUGAGGAUGAAUGGGGUGGAAGAGUUUUCCAUCAAUCUGACAAGGAAAUGACCACAGAGAGCAGCAGAGGCUUAGACAUUUUUUUAAAUGACCACAGUGCAAAAAAUUGGAUAAGAGACAGAAACUAUGAUAAACACAGAGAGGAACAUCAUCAGUCAGUCGCCUUUAUAAACUAGGUGCUGUGUGAGAGGGAACAUGAAUGGGUGGUAUAAACGUGAGACAGUCUUCUUGACUAACCUUUGACAGGCUUCGUAUCACAAACAGUGCUGUGAUUGUGAAUAUGGAGUUGUACAACGUUCAGGUGUCACACUGUACAAAGACACGGAGCUAAAAUGGUUCAACAGAUUAAAUCGAGGCACCAAUUAUUUCUCUGGCCUCAGUCAUUGAUUUUUUUUCCAGUCAGCGAACUUGAGUGACGUAUAAAGUCUCAAUAAGUCCUUUUCAAUAAAGCGUAUCAGGAGUACACAAAAGAAAAGAAUGUUGUAAUGCAGUAAAAGUGGUUCAGCAAAAUAUUAAAAAUCAGCUGAGGCACAAGAGCCAGUGUUCACUCUUAAAUCCUGUCUCCAUAAAUAAAAAAAUAUAAAAAAAAUUAUCGUUCUGGUUUUUAUGGUUCCAAAAUUUAUUAAAAAAACAGUUUUGGAUAGAUAAUGAACAAAUAGUAGGAAACCAAAACCUUUCUGUGGUUACACAUUGUGACUAUUUGGAGUGCAUUCUCUUUGUAAUCCAACCUUGUGGCUAGUAUGUGCAUCAUUUAUUAAGCUUAAAAAAAUCCACAAUUACCUUCAAGUUCUGUCCUUGUCUCUCUAUGCUCCCUUUUCCUCCUUCUCUUUCCUCUCAUUCAGCAGCCAGUCACAGCACAAGGCUGCCCCUUCCUGAGCCUGGUACUGCCACAUGUUGCCUCUUAUUAAAAUGAGUUCUUCCUCCCCUCUGUUGCCAUGUGGUUGCUCACAGUGAAUUGCUGGGUUUUUCUCUAUGAUAUUGUAGGAUCUUUAUCUUGUGAUAGAAAGCGCCUUGAGGCAACUGUGGCUGUGAAUUGGC